GUUUGGAGACACGGGUUGAGGGGAUCCACGAGGAAAUGACACAGCAGUCAGCACUGAUGAGAGAAAUCAUAUCUCGCCUUCCGUCUCCUCCUGCAGAUCAUGCUACAGGUCCCAGCUACACACCACGACCACCACUUUGAUCAGGGGAGUGUUGUUUACCUCUUUUUGCCAAGUUGUAUUUAUAUUUUUAAAUUAUGCUUUUCUAACUUUACAUUUACAUUGAGGACAAUGUACUGUAUAAAUUUGGGGGAUGGUAGCAUAAUUUUCAAACA
rnacentral:lncRNA from 1 species